GCCUGGGUGGCUCAGUCGGUUGAGCGUCCGACUUCGGCUCGGGUCACGAUCUCGCGGUCCGUGAGUUCGAGCCCCGCGUCCGGCU
rnacentral:tRNA from 1 species